rnacentral:rRNA from 1 species
GACGAACGCUGGCGGCGUGCUUAACACAUGCAAGUCGAACGGAAAGGUUAUACUUUAGUUUGCUGCUCCAGUGGCGAUCGGUUGCGUAACACGUGAUUACCCUGCCCUUGCCUUUCGGAUAACUUCAGGAAACUGGGGCUAACACUGGCUAGUAGCUCCUACUGCUUGUUGUGGGUUGGUAAGUUUCGGCGGGUGGGGAUGGACUCGCGGCUUAUCAGCCUGUUGGUGGGGUAGUGGCUUACCAAGGCUUUGACGGGUAGCCGGCCUGAGAGGGUGACCGGCCACAUUGGGACUGAGAUGCGGGCCAGACUGCUACGGGAGGCAGCAGUGGGGAAUAUUGCACGAUGGGCGGAAGCCGGAUGCAGCAACGCCGCGUGCGGGAUGACGGCCGUCGGGGUGUAAACCGCUUGCGCCUGUGACGAAGCGUGAGUGACGGUAAUGUGUAAAGAAGCAACGGCUAACUACGUG